rnacentral:rRNA from 1 species
CGCCCGGGGAGUACGGUAGCAAGACAGUGAGUCAAAGGAAUUGAACGGGGGCCUCACAAGCGGUGGAGCAAGUGGUUUAAUUUGAAGCAACGCGAAGAACCUUACCAGGUCUUGACAUCCCGCUGACCGCUAUGGAGACAUAGCCUUCCCUUCGGGGACAGCGGUGACAGGUGGUGCAUGGUUGUCGUCAGCUCGUGUCGUGAGAUGUUGGGUUAAGUCCCGCAACGAGCGCAACCCUUGUCCUUAGUUGCCAUCAUUCAGUUGGGCACUCUAAGGAGACUGCCGUACAAAUACGGAGGAAGGUGGGGAUGACGUCAAAUCAUCAUGCCCCUUAUGACCUGGGCUACACACGUGCUACAAUGGACGGUACAAACGGUCGCGAAGUCGCGAGACGGAGCCAAUCCGAAAAAACCGUUCUCAGUUCGGAUUGCAGGCUGCAACUCGCCUGCAUGAAGCCGGAAUCGCUAGUAAUCGCGGAUCAGCAUGCCGCGGUGAAUACGUUCCCGGGCCUUGUACACACCGCCCGUCACACCACGAGAGUCUGUAACACCCGAAGUCGGUGAGGUAACCCUUUCGGGAGCCAGCCGCCGAAGGUGGGACAGAUGAUUGGGGUGAAGUCGUAACAAGGUAGCCGUA